GACGUAGGGCGCGAGCGUUGUCCGGAUUUAUUGGGCGUAAAGAGCUCGUAGGCGGUUUGUCGCGUCUGCUGUGAAAACCCGGAGCUCAACUCCGGGCCUGCAGUCGAUACGGGCGGACUUGAGUGUUGCAGGGGAGACUGGAAUUCCUGGUGUAGCGGUGAAAUGCGCAGAUAUCAAGGAGGAACACCGGUGGCGAAGGCGGGUCUCUGGGCAACUACUGACGCUGAGGAGCGAAAGCGUGGGGAGCGAACAGG
rnacentral:rRNA from 1 species